UACGAAGGGGGCGAGCGUUGUUCGGAAUCACUGGGCGUAAAGGGCGCGUAGGCGGCCCCUCUUGUCGCGUGUGAAAGCCCCGGGCUCAACCUGGGAACGGCGCGCGAGACGGGAGGGCUGGAGUUCGGGAGAGGGAUGCGGAAUUCCAGGUGUAGCGGUGAAAUGCGUAGAUAUCUGGAGGAACACCGGUGGCGAAGGCGGCAUCCUGGACCGACACUGACGCUGAAAAGCGAAAGCCAGGGGAGCAAACGGG
rnacentral:rRNA from 1 species